rnacentral:rRNA from 1 species
CCUACGGGAGGCAGCAGUGAGGAAUAUUGGUCAAUGGACGAGAGUCUGAACCAGCCAAGUAGCGUGAAGGAUGACUGCCCUAUGGGUUGUAAACUUCUUUUAUAUGGGAAUAAAAUGUUCCAUGUGUGGGAUUUUGUAUGUACCAUAUGAAUAAGGAUCGGCUAACUCCGUGCCAGCAGCCGCGGUAAUACGGAGGAUCCGAGCGUUAUCCGGAUUUAUUGGGUUUAAAGGGAGCGUAGGUGGAUUGUUAAGUCAGUUGUGAAAGUUUGCGGCUCAACCGUAAAAUUGCAGUUGAAACUGGCAGUCUUGAGUACAGUAGAGGUAGGCGGAAUUCGUGGUGUAGCGGUGAAAUGCUUAGAUAUCACGAAGAACUCCGAUUGCGAAGGCAGUUCACUGGACUGCAACUGACACUGAGGCUCGAAAGUGUGGGUAUCAAACAGGAUUAGAUACCCUUGUAGUC